UUGUUCUUACUCCGAAAUUCGAAGCAAGGUAUGCGCCGAAUGAGUUUCCGAUCACGUUGCUCUUUGGACCGGACUGGAAUCGUGAGAGUUCGAGGCUGUUGAAAGCUGUUUUCGAUCAUUUCGAAUCGUCUCUCAUGUUCUUGUACUCGCAAGUUCGAGCCUGUUGGAUUUUAUUCUGUUCCUACGAGACAUUGUUAUCUGCCUCAUCAACGUGAUUGCGAAGUGGAGGGAGUUUGAAGGUUAUAUGCUUUAUUGCACGAUGAAUUCCAUCUGAAAUUGUUUCUCGAGGAAUUGUCUUCUACAAUUGUUUUUUGAUUUGUCGAGGAUUUGUCGAGGAAUUGUUUCUCAAUAUUUGUCGAGGAAUUGUUACCUGAUAUGUAUAAUCAAAAUGCCGAAUCUCUCCGUGCUAGAAGAACAUCUAUUGUUCGUAAAGCUGUGGCAAUGUCUGAAAUGUUGAAGGAAUCUCUGGAGAAACUCCAACAAAUGGAUCAGCUUAGAGGAUUAUUUGUAAUUGAACGAAGAGCUUUCAAGAAUUCAGAUGAAAUUUGAAUGUGGAACAGAACGUAAUUUCGCUCGAGUUGUCAAAGGAAGAACAAGUAGACGGUUGGCGAUCGACUUUUGAGCCGUUCAAGAACAACACUUCAGAUCAUGGGACCAAAAUUGGCUAGGCAGAGAGAAAAACAAGGAUGGAAGUGUUGAAUUAUUCAAGCACAUGACAAAUGUGAGUGUUGCUGAAAAGCAAGGUUUUUCAACAGAAUGAUGAUGAAACCCACAAUUGUUGGGAACUGCUUUUGCAACCGAACUCUGUUGAAUUGCAUCAUUGUCCAUUAGCAAUGUCAAGGGGAGCUUUGUCAAUUUGCGCGCUCUCUGAUUCGAUCGGAGUAUUCAAUUGAUUCCUUAACUUUGCUCGUGCACAAUGUUAACGAUCUUUGGAUGAACUAAUGCGAAUAAGUGCAAGCCUCCAUGCUC